UAGGGGAAUUUGGCCCAAUACCCCCAUAGGACCGAGCUUCAUGAAUUUUGCCCCCUCAAUUUAUUUCUUUUUUGAUCUACCCCUCCAAUCUUUUAAAAUCCCAAAAUACCCUUAUGUGUUUUUUUUUUUAUAUGUUUUUUUCUUUCCUUUCUUCGACUUUUCCCCUCCAUCUCUUUAUCCAUAACCAGACCUUAGGAGCCCUCUGUUUCCUUUCAUGAAUCGGCCGGAUUGUAAGCGUGGAGACUGCGCGUUUUGAAGGAGAUGGUGAAGAGGCGACUCAGAGAGAAAACUGCAGGAUUUUAGAGAGCUCUAGGAGCAGAAGCAGAAGCAACAGGUAGGCAACAGCUCUAAUUUUGAUUUUCUGUUAGUGGUGUUGGGAAUUUUUUUUUUUUUUUUGGGAGAAAUUGUGAAAGAGAAAUUGUGAAAGUUGUGUUCUGGUUUUUUUUUUUUUUUAAAUAACGGUGGUGGUAGGCAUUUCUUGCUGAGAGAUAUGUAUGAUGAUAUGAUGCUGGAUGGAGUACAGCCAAGUAGGGAUACAUUCCAUUCUGUCAUCAGUUAGUGGAAAGGUGGAUAAGCAAAAUGCUCAUUUCUUUGGUGUUACGAUCAACGAGCAACAAGCCGAGUGUGGUAUUGUAGAAAGAGUUACUUCAAAUGCACAAAGCAAAUUUAAGUUACUUUAUUUCGAGCAAGAUGUGAAUGGCGGUUAUGGUUUGGCCCUACAGAUGGAUAAUUGAUCCUCCUCUGGAGGUCAAUGUACCAUCAAAACGCACACCAUGGCCUGAUGCCCCUCCUGAACUCCCUACCAAUGAAAAUGUAGUGUUGGGCAUCCAAGAGCAUGCUGUAAAGCAUCCUACAAAGACCCGCACAUCUAGAUCAAAGAGACGAAGCAAGAGAAAGCAUGACACAAGAACGGUGGACACACAGGUUGCUUCAAAGCAUUCUGAACAAAUUUGAAAAUCUUAGCACGAAGACGGCUAGAGAUGCAUGCUGCUGUGUGAAUUUUAGGCAUCAUUCUUCAGCAUCAUAAAAAAAUUUGAAUUGCAAAGGCUUAUUAGCACAGAGGCAGAUGGCCUAACCUGGUAUAUGUGAAAAGAAUCCUUCACGUUGGGCCAGUUGAUAACAGGCAUUGGAGUUUGAAUUUUCACUUAAUUUUUCACAAAUUUUUUCUUUCUUUUAUAUAUUUUUGUUUGGGAUAUCAGGAUUCUGGUUCAGCAUGAGGUAUGCCAGCAAAGUCUUGCCGUGUCUGCUACCUUGUAGGACUUUGUAUCCAAUAUGUUUCGAAUCUUAUACAUAAUCUUGGAACAUAGGAAUUAUAGAGUUGUGUUCAGCUGGA